rnacentral:rRNA from 1 species
AGGGUUUGAUCAUGGCUCAGAUUGAACGCUGGCGGUAGGCUUAACACAUGCAAGUCGUGCGAGAAAGUAUCUUCGGAUAUGAGUAGAGCGGCGGACGGGUGAGUAACGCGUAGGAAUCUACCUAGUAGAAGGGGAUAGCCCGGGGAAACCCGGAUUAAUACCGUAUACCUCCUUCGGGAGAAAGAAGGCCUCUCUUUGAAGCUUUUGCUAUUAGAUGAGCCUGCGUAAGAUUAGCUUGUUGGUGAGGUAAAGGCUCACCAAGGCUACGAUCUUUAGCUGGUCUGAGAGGACGAUCAGCCACAUUGGGACUGAGACACGGCCCAGACUCCUACGGGGGGCAGCAGUGGGGAAUAUUGGACAAUGGGCGCAAGCCUGAUCCAGCCAUACCGCGUGUGUGAAGAAGGCCUUCGGGUUGUAAAGCACUUUAAGCAGGGAGAAAAAGUUAUAAGUUAAUACCUUAUAACCGUGAUGUUACCUGCAGAAUAAGCACCGGCUAAUUCCGUGCCAGCAGCCGCGGUAAUAC